GAAGCAUGACCGUAAGGACAUGUGGACAGUAUGGGAGUGAGAAUGUUGGCAUGAGUAGCGAGAUGUGGGUGAGAAUCCCACAGGCCGUAAACCCAAGGUUUCCAGGGGAAGGUUCGUCCGCCCUGGGCUAGUCGGGACCUAAGCUGAGGCCGAAAGGCGUAGGUGAUGGACAACAGGUUGAUAUUCCUGUACUACCGAUAACCGUUUGAGAGAAGGGAUGACACAGUAGGAUAAGCCACGCACACUCUUGGUUAU
rnacentral:rRNA from 1 species